AGGAACAGCGCGUGCCUGUAAUCCCAGCUACCUGGGAGGCUUAGGCAGGAGGAUCGUUUGAGUUCAGGAGUUCUGGGCUGUAGUGCGCUAUGCCAAUCGGGUGUCUGCACUAAGUUCGGCAUCAAUAUGGUGACCUCCCGAGAGUGGGGGACCACCAGGUUGCCUAAGGAGGGGUGAACCACCCAGGUCGGAAACCCUGCAGGUCAAAACUCCUGUGCUGAUCAGGAACAGCGCAGAAAUAUAAGUAAAGCACCGAGCUGGUUGAGAUUGGCAUCGGUU
rnacentral:SRP_RNA from 1 species